CGACCGGCGCACGGGUGCGUAACGCGUAUGCAACCUACCUGUAACAGGGGGAUAACACUGAGAAAUCGGUACUAAUACCGCAUAACACUAUGAGAGGCAUCUCUUGUGGUUGAAAGUUUCGGCGGUUACAGAUGGGCAUGCGUUGUAUUAGCUGGUUGGUAAGGUAACGGCUUACCAAGGCGACGAUACAUAGGGGGACUGAGAGGUUAACCCCCCACAUUGGUACUGAGACACGGACCAAACUCCUACGGGAGGCAGCAG
rnacentral:rRNA from 1 species